UUAGCAAUAGUGGUGAAAGUGGCGAACGGGUGAGUAACACGUAGAUAACCUGCCCUGAAGCGGGGGAUAACGAUUGGAAACGGUCGCUAAUACCGCAUGAGUCCAUCGAAUCGGGAGAGAGAUGGAGAAAAUCACGGCGCUUCAGGAGGGGUCUGCGUCCGAUUAGCUAGUUGGCGAGGUAAAGGCUCACCAAGGCGACGAUCGGUAGCUGGUCUGAGAGGACGAUCAGCCACACGGGAACUGAGACACGGUCCCGACUCCUACGGGGGGCAGCAGUGAGGAAUAUUGGGCAAUGGGCGGAAGCCUGACCCAGCAACGCCGCGUGGAGGAUGAAGGCCUUCGGGUCGUAAACUCCUUUUGUCGGGGAAGAGGAAGGACGGUACCCGGCGAAUAAGUCACGGCUAACUACGUGCCAGCAGCCGCGGUAAUACGUAGGUGACAAGCGUUAUCCGGAAUUACUGGGCGUAAAGCGCACGCAGGCGGCUGCUUGAGUCUGACGUAAAAUCUCCUGGCUUAACUGGGAGGGGUCGUUGGAAACUGAGUAGCUUGAGGCAGUGAGAGGGGUGUAGAAUUCCCGGUGUAGUGGUGGAAUGCGUAGAUAUCGGGAGGAAUACCAGAGGCGAAGGCGACACCCUGGCACUGACCUGACGCUCAUGUGCGAAAGCGUGGGGAGCGAACGGGAUUAGAUACCCCGGUAGUCCACGCUGUAAACGAUGAGUACUAGGUGUAGGUAGAGUGAAAUCUGUCUGUGCCGAAGCAAACGCGAUAAGUACUCCGCCUGGGGAGUACGGCCGCAAGGCUAAAACUCAAAGGAAUUGAC
rnacentral:rRNA from 1 species